rnacentral:misc_RNA from 1 species
AGAAUUGCAGCAUCUAUUUGUUUAAUGGAGUUUUUGAUUAAGUUCUUCUGAGUUAGGUAGGUGCCUGUGCUGGAUAAACCUUUAACCCAGCUUAAAAGCUCAUCAUUACCUACCUGUUUUUACUCAUCUACACACCUGAAGCUUGCUUUGAUUUGCUUUGCUUAGUUCAGAAGGGUAAUUAUUUUCUUUCCCUUCGAUUCAAAUUUUAUUUUUUACUUAUCCAGAUUUUGAUCUUCUCACUUUCUUCGCUUUACUCAAAUUCCUUUUUGUUUUAGCGGGGUUUGUCACUUGGCAGUAGAUUUUCUUGCCAUAUGUGUACUUCUGUUUAGUUACUCACUGAGAGAUGGCCAUAGCUCGGCUUGCUCGCCGCGCGAAACGCCCAUAUGGGUUGUGUGCGAAGAUGACCGCAGUAGCGAUUAUGGGUCUCUGUUUUAUUUUUGUUUGGUCCUUGUUUUCUUCUUCUUCUACUACUUCAGUGACUACUCAGAGGGAAAGCUUCGAUGAUAUCGCUGAACCAGUACCAGCAAACAAUGGGGUAAGCAAUUCUAAGACCCAAU